UACAGAGGGUGCUAGCGUUGUUCGGAAUCAUUGGGCGUAAAGGGCGUGUAGGCGGUUUGUUAAGUCAUGUGUGAAAGCCCCCGGCUCAACCGGGGAACGACGCAUGAAACUGGCAAGCUAGAGUACCGAAGAGGGGGGUGGAAUUCCCGGUGUAGCGGUGAAAUGCGCAGAUAUCAGGAGGAACACCGGUGGCGAAGGCGGAUCUCUGGGCCUUACCUGACGCUCAGGCGCGAAAGCUAGGGGAGCGAACUGG
rnacentral:rRNA from 1 species